AUAUCAGUCAUGCAUAGCAUAUCAUAAGCGGAGGAAAAGAAACUAACAAGGAUUCCCUUAGUAACGGCGAGUGAAGCGGGAAGAGCUCAAAUUUGAAAUCUUCAAGGUUUUACCUUGACGAAUUGUAGUUUAAAGAAGUGUUUUCUGUUGAAGUUUUGGUAAAAGUUCUUUGGAAUAGGACAUCAUAGAGGGUGAGAAUCCCGUAUUUGACCAUUACUUUCAGCUUUGUGAUACACUUUCAAAGAGUCGGAUUGUUUGGGAAUGCAGUCCAAAAUGGGUGGUAAAUUUCAUCUAAAGCUAAAUAUUGGCGAGAGACCGAUAGCGAACAAGUACCGUGAGGGAAAGAUGAAAAGAACUUUGAAAAGAGAGUUAAACAGUACGUGAAAUUGUCAAAAGGGAAGCGUUUGACACCAGUGUUGUUUUCUCGAAAAUCAAUUAAAAAGAGUUGGAUUUUGUGUUGUAUUGACUUUAUCAGGCUUUCUUCACUCUUUUCCAGCUUUUUUUAAUGCACUUUUCGUUUAACAAGUCAACAUCAGUUUCUUUUGUUGUAAAAAGGUCAUUGGAAGGUGGCUUUCUCUUCGGAGAAAGUGUUUAUAGCCUUUGACUCAUGCAAUCGGAGAGACUGAGGUCUGCAGCGUAGAUCCUUCGGGGUUAGAUACAUUUGUGCUAAGUUAUAGCUUUUCAUAGACAACUUGUUGACUAUGUUUAGUCUUGUAGCUUACUCGCUUAUGCUAUUUUACCUACGCUUAGGAUGUUGAACUCUAUCACACACAG
rnacentral:rRNA from 1 species